ACGAUCAAAUUGGAAUGCUCCGGGAUAAAAGUUGAUUUUAAAGUUGAUUUUCUUACAAUUUCCAUUUAAUUUAAGUUUGCGGAUGUCUACAUUUUAGAUGAAAGGAAAACACAUUUUUCUUUUAGAAAUUGACGUUUUUCCUUGGGUGCAACAUCUGAAAAUGUGAGAUACUGAAACUCAUUGGUCAAAAGAACAAAACUCUUUCAUCCUCAUGUUAAUACAAUGGAUGAGCAUUCAGUCAAAUGGAUGCCAAUUUAUUGAUCCAGGGCAAUGCACAAAAAGGAUUUAAAUCUUGGCCAAUAGCCAUUAACAGCAAAUCUGAAGACACCGGCAAUUGGUCAUAGAUCACAAAUGGCAGGAAAUCCAUCUAUCGCUGCCCUUUUCUGCUUUUUAUUUGUCCAUGUUCCCACGCCAAGAUUUCUCCAACCAGAUUAUCAUACAGUCCAGACAUGUGCUCCAAUUCAUACAUUACUUAACCCGCGUGUCUUUCGCUAGCUGCAUGUUGAAAUCCCCGAUCCUACUCAUUACCAUGUAGCGUGAAGAGAUUUCAGUAAAAUUCUAUGUGCAGGACAAAGUGCCACCACAUUAGCUCGUCCUUUCUUUUGUGCCAGUGUGUGGAUUUGAAUGGGGGGGUAGUUAAUGUGAACCCUUUUGUGACAGAUAGUUGAGUCCAAAUUGAUUUCAGAUUCAUUUUGAAAUCUGUCUGCUAUCAAACGUUCCACAAAGUGUUAAUAAUUAAGACAAACUGGGGAUCAAAGGGGGUAUCAGAGUUACAAAUGCAAGCAAUCUUUCAAAAAGCCCGGCUAUGUUUCACACCACAUUCAUCACUGUUAACAAAUAGAUAUCUAACUAAAUCAAUGAAACAAAUAAAUGGGGAUCAACACUGUGAAUGAAAUGCAUUUGAGGUGUCCCAUUGUCCCAUUACCUUUAGAUUUAUAUGAGAAAUAUACCCUUUUUUUCUUGUAAUGAAAUUAGAGGAGGAAGUAGCCAACUGUAACUCUGACUGCAUGUUGACGUGACUUGCAUGUAUUCAUCACAGAGGUCAUCCAUUCUUUAGGCACACAUUUUUUAUUCUACCCCUGAGUUCAGCAAGCAAUUGAUAUGUGAUCUGGGAGAGGGCAGUUUAUUGAUUAUUGUGGGGACUUAAGCGGUAGUAGGGUGGUGUGUGGACAGAUUGUUCUAGUGUCCUGUACACUUAAGCCCCCGCCUUACUCAUAUGGACCUACAUAAGGUAUCCACCUUUGACAUGUUUAUAGCAAGUGCUCAUUGUAAAACAGCAAACGGCAGACAUGCACGUAGGCAAGACGAGAUAAAAAAGUCUUAUGUUACACCUCAAGCAAUUAGCCUGAACAGUAUUUUAAAGGCAUAUAUUUAGACUCGAUGCCGUUGACGUCACAGGACCCUGUUUUUCCUGCAUGGGUGGGCAAAGAAAUGAGUCUCUUGUUCUUCUCAUUUCAUCAACCUUCAUCUAUAAAUUGUACUAAAAUGUUGUAGAGGAAUUUUGAGCGUAUUUAUUUGUCUGCACAUUUUAUUGACAUACAUAAAAUAAAGCGAGAUCACCAUAAAAGAAAGUCCGACCAAAUUGGUGUGAGGAUGUCCAGAGGGGUUGGAAUGUGAGCUUAGCUGCGGUCUGUGUUCUCAGGUGAUGGAUAGCAAAGGGGAGUUGGUGGUGGGGUGGGCAGGCUUUGACCUUGGCCAUGGAACAGUAAGCGCUAGCUCAGAUAUCUCACAUGAUACCCAUACAUAGCGGUUCAUUACGGAAGAGCCCCCUUAUGCAAAGUGCAUAGCUCAACACUGGCUGGCUGACAGGGCUGUUCAACCUCUCCUUGUAUAUUGGAAAAAGUGACUGCUCCCUAUGUUUUCAUCCUCGCAUAAAAGAAACAUGAAAGGAGCUGUGGUCCCCUUUAUCGAAAGUGUCUCUGCAAGUGUUACAAAACUGCCCCGGCGUUGUGUUGCCUUGUUUUUCU
ensembl:lncRNA